rnacentral:lncRNA from 1 species
GGUAAAUGUCAACUGAAGCUCCACAGAAGAGCAAGAUUUAUAGUCUUAUACAAAUUAUUUGAACUCAGAAACAAAAUGAAUAUUCCAGUUAAAAUAGCUUUCAAGACAAAAGUAGCAGCAAAUGGAUAACUAGGUAACAGCUUAGUUAUAAAUGAAACAUCUAAAAUUUUCAGGCUCUACAUAGAAUUACUUUUGGCAGAGAGGAGAUUUUCGCGAAGAAAACCAUGCUUAUCUGGUUCUUAAAGGAAAUGUUAAUUCUAGCUUACUUGUCUUUAUCCUCGUUCUUCGAAUUCAAUAGCACGAAAAUUGAUGUAGCUGAAUUUUCUUAUCAAGAUAAAGAUGGCAGCAAAAUAGAAAAAAGUUUACAUCUCAAUUAGAAAUCAAAAAUACAAAAUUUUUAAUCUUUAGAAGGAAAGUUUUUGUUAUUCUUUAGAGAUAAGAUUUGUAUGAUAUAAAAUUAUACGUACAUCUGAUGCUUAAAUGAAGUAAAACAUCAAUUAUUACCACCGCGUUUUAGCGACAACCAACAACUUCAAUCAAUAAGCACUACUAAAUGACAAGAAUUCUAUAGGCUUUCAACUAAGUUCAUAC